rnacentral:rRNA from 1 species
GGAAGGCAGCAGGCGCGCAAAUUACCCAAUCCCGACACGGGGAGGUAGUGACAAUAUGUAACAAUAUACGGCUUUAUUGUCGUAUAAUUGGAAUGAGUACAAUUUAAAUCCCUUAACGAGGAACAAUUGGAGGGCAAGUCUGGUGCCAGCAGCCGCGGUAAUUCCAGCUCCAAUAGCGUAUAUUAAAGUUGUUGCAGUUAAAAAGCUCGUAGUUGGACCUUGGUCCUGGACAGGCGGUCCGCCUCACGGCGUGUACUGUCUUGCUGGGCCUUUCCUCUUGGUGAUCUGUGGUUUCGGCCGCAGGGAACCAGCACCUUUACUUUGAAAAAAUUAGAGUGUUCACAGCAGGCUUUACGCCAGAAUAUAUUAGCAUGGAAUAAUAAAAUAGGACGUGCGGUUCUAUUUUGUUGGUUUUUGGGAUCGCCG